AUUGGAUAAUGAAGUUGUUACACCACAUAAUGUGCAUAACUUUAAGGAAUAGAACGGUUGGAAAUGAAACUUGAAGGGUAGUUUUGAGAUCAAAGCUUUUUGCCAGACUCAAUCCAGAUCUUUCCCACAACACUAAAAUCAACAUAAGAUGGAUUACUCCAUUCCUGGAUAUGUGUCUACCACAUCUUAGCAGCUAAUGACUGACGCUCCCAUUGCCCACUACUAAGAUGGUUGCUCCACAUCCCCAGCUCAGAAAUUCCAGUAUUUAUCUAAAAAAGAUGUACUGAAUGAGCUUAGUGACAUAAAACUCAUCAGAAAAAACUGUUUACACUUUAGACUAUGCAGGUAUUCUUUGUCACCAAUUAAGUGAAGGAAGCCUUACAGAGUGACGACACAAAGGAGCAAUUCACUGCUAAAAUAAUGCUACCAGGAAAAUGCUGUUGUGUAGUAGUGUUGAUGUUAUUGGUCACUGAGAGAGCUACAGGUUGCAUGGGAUUACUCCUGAAAACCAAAAAUGGUCUGUUUACUUUGAGCCUCUUGAAUAGGAUCAUAUCUAACUUAUUUCAAAGAUCUAAUUAUUACCAUUUUACCCAGUGUGGCUCCCCUCUAAAUACAUAAAAAUUAAGGAAAUAUAGAAACUACAAAUAUGUAAUCAACAGCGUCUUUUACUUUGUCUCUCAGUAAUCUGAAGUUAAAUUAUUUAAAUAUCUUUGAGAGCUAAAUCAUGGUAUGGUAACCAGAGCCAUUAUGAAUUCAAAGUUUUGAAAAAAAAAGUUAGAAAAGAGAGGCAUUCAGUAACCAAGAUUUCUCUGUAUUUGGGGAGGAAUGCUGGUCAGUUAUUGCUAUUGUUUGUGGAGAAGGUACAGAAAUAAAUAAGAUCUUCCUUAUUUAUUGCAACCUUUCACCUUCACAGAAGGCAUCAUCAGACUAAAAAACUAAGAUAGCAUUGAGAAACAUAGUAUAGAUUUUCCCCGCAAUACAAUUCACAAUUACAUAUUUCAUUUUACUUUAACAGACUUUCUUUUUAAUACCUUUUGCCUGGUAUACGAUUGCUUUUGCUUUGUUCUUACGAUCAUUGGAGUGCACACUCUCACACUUUGCUUGAACUACAGUGGCAUCUUUUUAUGUAUCUUAUUAGUAUGUAUCCAUGUAUAUGUUGAGCUCAUUUUAUUACAAUUAUCAUUAUCAUCUAC